rfam:Schistosoma mattheei strain Denwood, Zambia genome assembly, scaffold: SMTD_scaffold0002442
AUCCAGCUGACGAGUCCCAAAUAGGAAGAAAAGCGCGUCCUGGAU